GAUGAACGCUGGCGGCGUGCCUAAUACAUGCAAGUCGAGCGAACAGAUGAGGAGCUUGCUCCUCUGACGUUAGCGGCGGACGGGUGAGUAACACGUGGAUAACCUACCUAUAAGACUGGGAUAACUUCGGGAAACCGGAGCUAAUACCGGAUAAUAUAUUGAACCGCAUGGUUCAAUAGUGAAAGACGGUUUUGCUGUCGCUUAUAGAUGGAUCCGCGCCGCAUUGGCUAGUUGGUAAGGUAACGGCUUACCAAGGCAACGAUGCGUAGCCGACCUGAGAGGGUGAUCGGCCACACUGGAACUGAGACACGGUCCAGACUCCUACGGGAGGCAGCAGUAGGGAAUCUUCCGCAACGGGCGAAAGCCUGACGGAGCAACGCCGCGUGAGUGAUGAAGGUCUUCGGAUCGUAAAACUCUGUUAUUAGGGAAGAACAAAUGUGUAAGUAACUAUGCACGUCUUGACGGUACCUAAUCAGAAAGCCACGGCUAACUACGUG
rnacentral:rRNA from 1 species